AUUGACCAUAACUACAUGGUCUACAUGUUCCAGUAUGACUCCACCCAUAGCAAGUUCAAUGGCACAGUGAAGGCUGAGAACAGGAAGCUUGUCAUCAAUGGGAGGCCAUCUCCAUCUUCCAGGAGCGAGAUCCCUCCAACAUCAAAUGGGGUGAUGCUGGUGCCGAGUAUAUCGUGGAGUCCAUUGGAGUCUUCACUACCAUGGAGAAGGCUGGGGCUCACUUGAAGGGUGGAGCCAGAAGGGUCAUAAUCUCUGCCCCUUCUGCUGAUGCCCCCAUGUUUGUGAUGAGUGUGAACUAUGAGAAGUAUGACAACUCCCUGAAGAUUGUCAGCAAUGCCUCCUGUACCACCAACUGCCUAGCACCCUUGGCCAAUGUCAUCCAUGACAACUUUGGCAUCGUGGAAGGACUCAUGAUCACAGUCCAUGCCAUCACUGCCACCCAGAAGACUGUGGAUGGCCCCUCUGGUAAACUGUGGUGCGAUGGCCGUGGGGCUGCCCAAAACCUCAUCCCUGUCUCCACUGGCGCUGCCAAGGCUGUGGGCAAAGUCAUCCUGGAGCUAAAUGGGAAGCUCACUGGCAUGGCCUUCUGUGUACCCACCCCCAACGUUUCAGUGUGGAACUGACCUGCUGCCUGGAGAAAGUGACCAAAUAUGAUGACAUCAAGAAGGUGGUGAAGCAGGUGUUGGAAGGCCCCCUAAAGGGCAUCCUGAGUUACACCAAGGACAAGGUUGUCUCCUGCGAUUUCAACAGCGACACCCACUCUUCCACCUUUGAUGCUGGGGCUGGCAUUGCCCUCAGUGAUCACUUUGUCAAGCUCAUUUCCUGGUAUGACAACAAAUUUGGCUACAGCAACAAGGUGGUGGACCUCAUGGUCCACAUGGCCUCCAAGGAGUAA